rnacentral:rRNA from 1 species
UACGUAGGGCGCAAGCGUUAUCCGGAAUUAUUGGGCGUAAAGAGCUCGUAGGCGGUUUGUCGCGUCUGCCGUGAAAGUCCGGGGCUCAACUCCGGAUCUGCGGUGGGUACGGGCAGACUAGAGUGAUGUAGGGGGAGACUGGAAUUCCUGGUGUAGCGGUGAAAUGCGCAGAUAUCAGGAGGAACACCGGUGGCGAAGGCGGGUCUCUGGGCAACAACUGACGCUGAGGAGCGAAAGCGUGGGGAGCGAACAGG